CAACCCAUCAAGCCCCCUCGGGCUUGCGUUGGGGUCCUGCGGCCGCCGCAGGCCCUGAAAUCCAGUGGCGGUCUCGCUAGACGGCACCGAGCGCAGUAGCAUUCCUCUCGCUCUGGUGGCGCGGCGGGCUUCCGGCCGUGAAAACACAGCGGGUCCCCCCGCUGUAACGCACCAA
rnacentral:misc_RNA from 2 species